UGUCUGUGUGUGUGUCUGUGUGUGUCUGUGUGUGUGUCUGUGUGUGUGUGUGUGUGUGUGUGUGUGUGUGUGUGUGUGUGUGUGUGUGUGUGUGUGUGUGUGUGUGUGUGUGUGUGUGUGUGUGUCUGUGUGUGUGUGUGUGUGUGUGUGUGUGUGUGUGUGUGUGUGUGUGUGUGUGUGUGUGUGUGUGUGUGUGUCUCUGUGUGUGUGUGUGUGUGUGUGUGUGUGUGUGUGUGUGUGUGUGUGUGUGUGUGUGUGUGUGUGUGUGUGUGUGUGUGUGUGUGUGUGUGUGUGUGUGUGUGUGUGUGUGUGUGUGUGUGUGUGUGUCUGUGUGUGUGUGUGUGUGUGUGUGUGUGUGUGUGUGUGUGUGUGUGUGUGUGUGUGUGUGUGUGUGUGUGUGUGUGUGUGUGUGUGUGUGUGUGUGUGUGUGUGUGUGUGUGUGUGUGUGUGUGUGUGUGUGUCUGUGUGUGUGUGUGUCUGUGUGUGUGUGUGUGUGUGUGUGUGUGUGUGUGUGUGUGUGUGUGUGUGUGUGUGUGUGUACAGUGAUAUGUUCCCAGGCUGACUGAGUUUCAACUCCGCUCUGCGCUGCUCGUGUCGCCUUCCUCCCAGGUGUCCCUGCACCCCUGGUUACCCCUGGUUACCCCUGGUUACCCUCUGUCACAGGAAGAGGGGGAGAACAGGGGGGGCUCUCUUUAUCUGUCUCUAAACUCACUUUGAUGCUGUCUAGGGAUUUCAGCACAAUUUAAUUAGGUUGUUAUUCAGGCAGGAGAUUGCUCUGCCUCCAGUGUCGGCCGUUACCCUAUAGAGGAUGAGGACAUUACCCUAUAGAGGAUGAGGACAUUACCCUAUAGAGGAUGAGGACAUUACCCUAUAGAGGAUGAGGACAUUACCCUAUAGAGGAUGAGGACAUUACCCUAUAGAGGAUGAGGACAUUACCCUAUAGAGGAUGAGGACAUUACCCUAUAGAGGAUGAGGACAUUACCCUAUAGAGGAUGAGGACAUUACCCUAUAGAGGAUGAGGACAUUACCCUAUAGAGGAUGAGGACAUUACCCUAUAGAGGAUGAGGACAUUACCCUAUAGAGGAUGAGGACAUUACCCUAUAGAGGAUGAGGACAUUACCCUAUAGAGGAUGAGGACAUUACCCUAUAGAGGAUGAGGACAUUACCCUAUAGAGGAUGAGGACAUUACCCUAUAGAGGAUGAGGACAUUACCCUAUAGAGGAUGAGGACAUUACCCUAUAGAGGAUGAGGACAUUACCCUAUAGAGGAUGAGGACAUUACCCUAUAGAGGAUGAGGACAUUACCCUAUAGAGGGUGAGGACAUUACCCUAUAGAGGGUGAGGACAUUACCCUAUAGAGGGUGAGGACAUUACCCUAUAGAGGGUGAGGACAUUACCCUAUAGAGGGUGAGGACAUUACCCUAUAGAGGGUGAGGACAUUACCCUAUAGAGGGUGAGGACAUUACCCUAUAGAGGAUGAGGACAUUACCCUAUAGAGGGUGAGGACAUUACCCUAUAGAGGGUGAGGACAUUACCCUAUAGAGGAUGAGGACAUUACCCUAUAGAGGGUGAGGACAUUACCCUAUAGAGGGUGAGGACAUUACCCUAUAGAGGAUGAGGACAUUACCCUAUAGAGGAUGAGGACAUUACCCUAUAGAGGGUGAGGACAUUACCCUAUAGAGGGUGAGGACAUUACCCUAUAGAGGAUGAGGACAUUACCCUAUAGAGGAUGAGGACAUUACCCUAUAGAGGAUGAGGACAUUACCCUAUAGAGGAUGAGGACAUUACCCUAUAGAGGAUGAGGACAUUACCCUAUAGAGGAUGAGGACAUUACCCUAUAGAGGAUGAGGACAUUACCCUAUAGAGGAUGAGGACAUUACCCUAUAGAGGAUGAGGACAUUACCCUAUAGAGGAUGAGGACAUUAGAGUUCAGAGAAAGUACAGGCCCUCUGUUAACGUCAUUACUGUAUAGGGUAUAGAGAGACAGAGGGUGAGGUCAUUACUGUAUAGGGUAUAGAGAGACAGAGGGUGAGGUCAUUACUGUAUAGGGUAUAGAGAGACAGAGGGUGAGGUCAUUACUGUAUAGGGUAUAGAGAGGCAGAGGGUGAGGUCAUUACUGUAUAGGGUAUAGAGAGACAGAGGGUGAGGUCAUUACUGUAUAGGGUAUAGAGAGACAGAGGGUGAGGUCAUUACUGUAUAGGGUAUAGAGAGACAGAGGGUGAGGUCAUUACUGUAUAGGGUAUAGAGAGACAGAGGGUGAGGUCAUUACUGUAUAGGGUAUAGAGAGACAGAGGGUGAGGUCAUUACUGUAUAGGGUAUAGAGAGACAGAGGGUGAGGUCAUUACUGUAUAGGGUAUAGAGAGGUCAUUACUGUAUAGGGUAUAGAGAGACAGAGGGUGAGGUCAUUACUGUAUAGGGUAUAGAGAGACAGAGGGUGAGGUCAUUACUGUAUAGGGUAUAGAGAGACAGAGGGUGAGGUCAUUACUGUAUAGGGUAUAGAGAGACAGAGGGUGAGGUCAUUACUGUAUAGGGUAUAGAGAGGCAGAGGGUGAGGUCAUUACUGUAUAGGGUAUAGAGAGACAGAGGAUGAGGUCAUUACUGUAUAGGGUAUAGAGAGACAGAGGGUGAGGUCAUUACUGUAUAGGGUAUAGAGAGACAGAGGGUGAGGUCAUUACUGUAUAGGGUAUAGAGAGACAGAGGGUGAGGUCAUUACUGUAUAGGGUUUAGAGACAGAGGGUGAGGUCAUUACUGUAUAGGGUUUAGAGAGACAGAGGGUGAGGUCAUUACUGUAUAGAGUUUAGUUACAUUGACUCUAAAUAUGACCGGCAAGAUAUUUGAGUUUAAAAAUUCAGCGACUCCACGAAUGGUGG